CCUGUGACAGGAGGGGGAAGGACAGCAUGGUCUCUAACCCCAUGACCUCCACUGACUGAUGUCUGCCGAUGUUUUCUUACUGCUACAGGAAUCAAAGAUCAUCGAUGAGAGAGAUGGAAAAGGUGUCAACUCGUUACCACCUCUUGACCUUGCUAUGUCUCCAGUGAGGAUGUCUUGUCAGCAUCGUUUCCAUAGCGACCAGGACAUGACAACAGGUUUUCACCUUAUUCUUUUGAGACCUGGUCUUUCAUCCAACUUAGAGCCCACCAAUUGUCUAGACUGGCUUGCAUGUGACCCCCCGAGACCCUUCUGUCUUGGUGCCCAUAGUGCUGAGAUUUACACCACUAAACCUGGGCUUUAUAUUCAUUUUGGGGAUCCAAAAAUCAGAUCCUCAUGUUUGCCUGGAAUC
rnacentral:lncRNA from 1 species